AUUGAACGCUGGCGGCAGGCCUAACACAUGCAAGUCGAGCGGAUGAAGGGAGCUUGCUCCUGGAUUCAGCGGCGGACGGGUGAGUAAUGCCUAGGAAUCUGCCUGGUAGUGGGGGAUAACGUCCGGAAACGGGCGCUAAUACCGCAUACGUCCUGAGGGAGAAAGUGGGGGAUCUUCGGACUUCACGCUAUCAGAUGAGCCUAGGUCGGAUUAGCUAGUUGGUGGGGUAAAGGCCUACCAAGGCGACGAUCCGUAACUGGUCUGAGAGGAUGAUCAGUCACACUGGAACUGAGACACGGUCCAGACUCCUACGGGAGGCAGCAGUGGGGAAUAUUGGACAAUGGGCGAAAGCCUGAUCCAGCCAUGCCGCGUGUGUGAAGAAGGUCUUCGGAUUGUAAAGCACUUUAAGUUGGGAGGAAGAGCAGUAAGUUAAUACCUUGCUGUUUUGACGUUACCAACAGAAUAAGCACCGGCUAACUUCGUG
rnacentral:rRNA from 1 species